rnacentral:rRNA from 1 species
UACGUAGGUGACCAGCGUUGUCCGGAUUUACUGGGCGUAAAGAGCGCGCAGGCGGUCGUUCAAGUCGAGUGUGAAAGCCCCCGGCUCAACUGGGGAGGGUCACUCGAUACUGAUCGACUUGAAGGCAGGAGAGGGAAGCGGAAUUCCCGGUGUAGUGGUGAAAUGCGUAGAUAUCAGGAGGAACACCGGUGGCGAAGGCGGUUCUCUGGGCAUGUCCUGACGCUGAGGAGCGAAAGUGUGGGGAGCGAACAGG